UCCCGGGGCGGGGUGGGGAGGGGGCCUGGGGCGCCGCCGGGACAGCUCGGGGAGGGCCCGGGGGGGGGCAACAGGAGGAGCGGGUGCGUCGCGGGACGCCGGCAGCCCUGUCGGCCUAGUGGUACAGAGGAGGAAACUGAGGCCCAGAGAGGCCAAGUGUCGGGCCCAGGGUCGCCCGAAGAAAAGGAAGAGUAAAAGAAGAGAAACCAACUUGGUAGAACAUCACCAAGGACAUUUGUUAACAGAAACGACUAGAUAGUGGAAAACAACCCCCCCCAAAAACUAAACUCCAAAACCAUCAGAUCCAGUGACAUGUUGAAGGGGGUGUGAGAAAACAGGCUGGUGGGUGUGCCAUGGCGGGGGGGGCGUGAACUGGUCCAGCCAUCCUGGAAAGCAAUCUGGCAUUCAUUAUACCUUCAAAAUUAUUAAGACUGCAUGCUCUUUGACCUGGCAACAGCUGCUAGGCUUGUACCCCAAAGGAAUCAAAGAAAGAAAGACCCUAAACGAAGGAGCUUUUUUUUGUAGUGGCAAAGAAUUAGAAACUAAGGAGAUUCAGUCACUUGGGGGCUGAACAACUUGUGUUAAAUGAUGAAACAUGCUACCCACCUCCAGAUAGGUGUUGGACUCAGAGUGCAUGCUGAGACUUUAAACAUGGCGGAUGCAAGAAUUUGUUUCGCUUGACUAUACAUGUAUGUAACAACUUUUGCUUUUCUUACUUUCUCAAGGGGUGUGGGGGGGGGGAAGAGGGAUGAGAUAGGGAGAAAAUGUGAACCUAAGAUUAAAUUGAAUAAACAAUGAAAACAAAUGAUGGUAUAAAACGUAUGGAAUAUUAUUGUGCUGUGAGAAAUGCUGAAAGGAUUGAUUUCAGAGAAACCUGGGAGGGCUUGUAUCAACUGAUGCUGAAUGAAAUGAGCAGAACCAGGAGAAGAAGUGACACAACAGCGUUAUGAAGACAAACAGCUCUGAAAGCCUGCAGGACUGCGGUCGACACGAUGACCAGCCACAGUUCUCCUGCCACAGAGGGGAUGGACGAAUGCAGCCAGUAUGGGACUUGGGUUUUGCUUGACUCUGCUUAUCUGUUAGGGGGACUUCUUUCUCCCAGUGGGAGGGAGAAAAAAAAACCAAAUGCUUGAUAAUUGAAAACAUUUAAUUAAAAAUAAAACCUUCAGUCCUGA